rfam:Ixodes scapularis strain Wikel colony gcontig_1108379083708, whole genome shotgun sequence.
AAAACGGUCCUUUUAGGGACCACUCAUAUGCUUUAAAAUCGGAUU